GUCAUAUCUUUGUGGAGGCCUUGCGGCGAAUACUCAUGAUCAGGCUACGAGGUUAGAGGAUAUCAAGGUAGCUUAUAUAGCUUAUCAUAUUUGGCUGACCCGAAACACUAGUUUAUUUGAGGCUAGAUAGAUGUCGGCGAGAUUUGUAUUCGAGAGGGCCUCUUCUCAAGCUGUCGAGAUUCUAGAGUUGUCACUGCCA
rnacentral:lncRNA from 1 species